UGAGGAAUAUUGCGCAAUGGGGGCAACCCUGACGCAGCAACGCCGCGUGAGUGAGGAAGGUUUUCGGACCGUAAAGCUCUGUCGAGCGGGAAGAAAUGCAUGGUGGCUAAUAUCCAUCAUGCUUGACGGUACCGCUAAGGGAAGCACCGGCUAACUCCGUGCCAGCAGCCGCGGUAAUACGGAGGGUGCGAGCGUUGUUCGGAAUUAUUGGGCGUAAAGAGCGUGUAGGCGGCCGAAUAAGUCAGAUGUGAAAUCCCUGGGCUUAACCCAGGACGUGCAUUUGAAACUAUUCGGCUGGAGUAGGGGAGAGGAAAGUGGAAUUCCUGGUGUAGAGGUGAAAUUCGUAGAUAUCAGGAGGAACACCGGUGGCGAAGGCGACUUUCUGGCCCUAUACUGACGCUGAGACGCGAGAGCGUGGGUAGCAAACAG
rnacentral:rRNA from 1 species